rnacentral:tRNA from 1 species
GCCCUUAUCGUCUAGUGGUUCAGGACAUCUCCUUUUCAAGGGGGCAGCGGGGAUUCGACUUCUCCUAGGGGUA